GCUAUGGAGUAUGAUACCAGACGCUAGUAGCUUGCGAGUAAUCGCGGUGAGGGCGCAUACGAUGAAAUAGCAA
rnacentral:sRNA from 12 species